rnacentral:rRNA from 1 species
UACACGAACCAUACUACCCUGAAUGCACCUGAUCUCACCUGAUCUUGGAAACUCAGCUGGGUCGGGCCUGGUUGGCACUUGGGUGGGAGAGCUCACCAUGAGCCCGUGUUU